rnacentral:tRNA from 1 species
GCCUGGUUGGUUCAGCUGAAAGAGCGUGUGACUCUUGAUCUCAGGGUCAUGAGUUUGAACCCCACAUUGGGCG